GACGAACGCUGGCGGCGCGCCUAACACAUGCAAGUCGAACGAGCGAGAGAGAGCUUGCUUUCUCGAGCGAGUGGCGAACGGGUGAGUAACGCGUGAGGAACCUGCCUCAAAGAGGGGGACAACAGUUGGAAACGACUGCUAAUACCGCAUAAGCCCACGGGUCGGCAUCGACCAGAGGGAAAAGGAGCAAUCCGCUUUGAGAUGGCCUCGCGUCCGAUUAGCUAGUUGGUGAGGUAACGGCCCACCAAGGCGACGAUCGGUAGCCGGACUGAGAGGUUGAACGGCCACAUUGGGACUGAGACACGGCCCAGACUCCUACGGGAGGCAGCAGUGGGGAAUAUUGCACAAUGGGGGAAACCCUGAUGCAGCGACGCCGCGUGGAGGAAGAAGGUCUUCGGAUUGUAAACUCCUGUUGUUGAGGAAGAUAAUGAUGGUACUCAACAAGGAAGUGACGGCUAACUACGUGCCAGCAGCCGCGGUAAAACGUAGGUCACAAGCGUUGUCCGGAAUUACUGGGUGUAGAGGGAGCGCAGGCGGGAAGACAAGUUGGAAGUGAAAUCCAUGGGCUCAACCCAUGAACUGCUUUCAAAACUGUUUUUCUUGAGUAGUGCAGAGGUAGGCGGAAUUCCCGGUGUAGCGGUGGAAUGCGUAGAUAUCGGGAGGAACACCAGUGGCGAAGGCGGCCUACUGGGCACCAACUGACGCUGAGGCUCGAAAGUGUGGGUAGCAAACAGGAUUAGAUACCCUGGUAGUCCACACCGUAAACGAUGAUUACUAGGUGUUGGAGGAUUGACCCCUUCAGUGCCGCAGUUAACACAAUAAGUAAUCCACCUGGGGAGUACGACCGCAAGGUUGAAACUCAAAGGAAUUGACGGGGGCCCGCACAAGCAGUGGAGUAUGUGGUUUAAUUCGACGCAACGCGAAGAACCUUACCAAGUCUUGACAUCCCUUGACGAUGCUGGAAACAGUAUUUCUCUUCGGAGCAAGGAGACAGGUGGUGCAUGGUUGUCGUCAGCUCGUGUCGUGAGAUGUUGGGUUAGGUCCCGCAACGAGCGCAACCCUUAUGGUCAGUUACUACGCAAGAGGACUCUGGCCAGACUGCCGUUGACAAAACGGAGGAAGGUGGGGAUGACGUCAAAUCAUCAUGCCCUUUAUGACUUGGGCUACACACGUACUACAAUGGCGUUAAACAAAGAGAAGCAAGACCGCGAGGUGGAGCAAAACUCAGAAACAACGUCCCAGUUCGGACUGCAGGCUGCAACUCGCCUGCACGAAGUCGGAAUUGCUAGUAAUCGUGGAUCAGCAUGCCACGGUGAAUACGUUCCCGGGCCUU
rnacentral:rRNA from 1 species